GGUAGUUAUUCAUGAUAACUUUGUCAUAGAAAAAAUAGAUAAGUACCUUAAUGUGUGCAUGGGUUUUUAUGCCCCACCUACAAUAGUAACGGGGCAUUAUGUUUUCUGGUCUUGUUUUCAUUAAUCUGUCUAUCCCAUGUCAGGUUAAAGUUUUUAGUCUAGGUAGCUUUUGAUGAAUUUGAAGUCCAAUCAACCUGAAACGAUCUUCUAAUUGUUAGGUUUUGACCCCAAUUUCAUGGUUCACGGAACAUAGAAAAUGAUAGUGUGAGUGUGGGGCAUCCGUGUACUAUGGACACAUUCUUGUUUCAAAUAAUAGUUAUAAAACUUUUCAAAAUCUGAG
rnacentral:lncRNA from 1 species